CUUAGAUACCUGCGCAACCCGACCUUAUGCUAUUCCCAACAUAUCAUCGUUAAUUCUCACACAGAAAUGUUUCCUUCAUUCAAAAAUAGCAGCAACAAGAUAAUAAACCCCACACACGCUUCCUCUUCCUUGACGCAUAGACACCCAAUAGCCUACGAGAAUCCUAGCACGUACAACUCAACUCCUUAGAUGUCAAGUUCACUGGAACGCGUAACGGCUCCAAGCAUUUUUUUCUCUGUCAAAAUACACGACAAGUUUACGGAAAAGAGAUGACGAAGGACGCGUGCUUUGUACGAUUUUAUUUUCUUCCCAACGUUCAUUUCUUCGUACAUUUUCAGCAGAUAAGGUUCUCCCUUUGCAUGGCAGUUGGGUAAUCUUCACCAACAUUCGUCAUUGAGUUAAAUAUUUUAUACGUCAUUUUGCAUGACGUUUCGCCAAGUUCACUUGGACUGUUCAGUAUCUCUUGCGUUCGGGAGCCAUAUAGGCUGAAAUUCGCAUUCACCGAGACAAUCAGCCAAAAUUCGACGAAUAGAUCCUCAAAAUUGAUGAAUAUGGAGUCAUUUGAAGGGUUGAAGAAAUUUGGUCAUUAGGACUCUAAGUUUUAUUUAUAUUUUUUAAAGUUUUGUAUUUGUUGUCAUUGGUCCUAAGCCCAUUUAAUUAUUUUAUUUAUUGUAUCAUUAGAAUUUAUGAUAGGUACAGGAGAAGUGGGCGAAAGGCCCAACACAAAGGUAAAAGGGUCGAAAACACAAAACUGGUAGGUCCAAAGAUCCGGUCAAGGUGAACAGACCCGGAGUUGGACCCAAAUCUCUCUCUCUUUCUCUUACUUUACAUGCUUUAAUUAUUUACUCUCUUUA